rnacentral:lncRNA from 1 species
AAUGUGGCCAAGCAAGGGUUGCCGGAGCAGAACGGGGUGACGCACUUUGAGGCUGGGGACACUAGGGCUAAGGAGUAUGUGAGCCUCCUCAAGUCUAAUGACCCUGUUGGGUUCAACAUUGUGGAUGUUUUGGCUUGGGGUUCUAUCGGUCACAUCGUGGCUUACUACAUCUUGGCCACCUCUAGCAAUGGCUAUGAUCCCAAGUUCUUUGAAUAAAUAUUAUCAUUUUGAAUUUAAAUUUGAGUUGAAUCCAUAUCAUGUUGUUGUGAGGUCUCUCUCUUGUUUGUAAUUUGUAUAGCUUAUCAAUGAAUCGCUAGUUUGGGAAGUUCUUAUGCUUUUCUUUGUUGUUUUAUUUUUUGUUUCGUGGUUCUUCGAAGUAACAACACUAGAGGCAGGACUAUAGCCAAUUAAGUUCUUCGUUUUGAGUUUGAAUGCAUGUGUUUUGUUGGAAUUUGGAAUUUACUACUUGCUAUUAUUUCAUGUUCUCAAAGGUAUCCAAAUCCAUCAUGCAAUGCACUCUUUCAAAUCUUUGGAUUGAACCCCCCUUGAGGCAUCAACAACUAUGAUGAAUUUGGGACAUUCCUUAUUUCAUAGUUUUGGAGUACCAUUCUUUUUCGGGUAAAUUGUUGUUUGACCCCCUGAACUAUUUUUUUGGUAAAUUAACCUCCUAAACUAUUUAAAAUCAGCCAAUUAACCCCUUAACGUUAGACGUCCAUUAUUUUGUCAAAUUCAAGGGCAAAUUAGUCUUUUUGUCAUCAAUUUGUACAUGUCACUUAUAACUACCAAUAAAAUUAUGACACGUGGACACAGAAUAACGUGUAAUGACAAUGUAAAAUGGUCUGUUAUGCAAACGUUUGGUUUCUUUAUGUUUCUUAUUAUGCUAUAAGUUUUUGAAUUAUUCUGUGUCCACGUGUCAUUAUUUUAUUGGUGGUUAUAACUAACUAGUAAGAAUUGAUGAUAAAAAAGAUUAAUUUGCCCUUGAAUCUGACGGAAUAGUGGACGGAAUCUAACGAAAAAUGGUUAAUUGGCUGCUUUUAAAUAGUUCGGGGAGUUAAUUUACCAAAAAAUUAGUUUAGGGGGUCAAUUUCAACUAAAGUAAUAAUUUAAGGGGUCAAACCGCAUUUACCCUUCUUUUUCGGAUACUCUUAAUAUGGUGAUGCAACAAAAUUAAUUUGAUUAUGGACAUUCACCUCUCCCAGACCCUGCGUAAAGCGGGAGCCUUGUGCACUGGGUACGACCUUUUUAUAUGUUUUUUUUAUCGACAAAAAGAUAUUUUUAACUAUUUUAAUUUAUGCGAAAUGAGGUUUGAAUUUGGAUGAAAAGGAGCUAUCACUUGACUAAAUGACCUGACUUACAUGUUUAAGCCCACAUAAGCGUAGUUUCUUCACUCAAAUUAAAAGUUAGAAAAAAAUACAGAAAUCUACUAAAUUCAGGCAAAAUCGAUGAACUUAAACAUAUCAUGAAUAUAAUCAUCUAAUUUUUGGAACUUUAGCACGAUUUAUAUUAUGAUGAAAUCCUUAUGAUUUCAUAAAAAAUGUUACUCUUAUCUUAUCACAUUUUUCAUACCACGUUUAUAACACUUCGUAUUCGUAAGCCCUAUUUCUAUUAGAGAAGUGAUACAAUUAUGAUAUGUAUCAUUUACUCUUAGAAAUCACAUUCUAUACUCCGUCUUCUUUCUCUUUUCCCUUGGAACUUAAUAUGCUCUUUCAUAUUUCUACUUUUAUUAACAGAAAAAGGAGUAAAAGGAAGGGGUCCAAACUGUACAGAAUCUUAUUAAUUUUAGCCAACAAAAGUACCUAUCAUGGCUUUGCCUUCCCAAAUAUGUGUUUUACCAAAACCAUCAGCCCAUCCCCAUUCUUCAUCUACACUCAAAAUAUUUCUCUUCAGUUAGUUAAAAACAUUUUAUCUAAAAUCUAAGCUUUUGAUUUCGAAUCUUUAUAUCUAUUUGUCUCCACUCUUGUGUAAAUACAAGUUUAAAUUUUCUUAUCAUAAAUUUUGAAUUAAUUUAUAUUAUCGUUUGUAUCGACAACCAAUAAAUAAAGUUUCAAUCUUUAAUUAUUAGGAAAGUAUUCUAGGGCCUAGUCAUAUCCAAUAUCUUAGGAAAAGGAUCAUCUUUGUGGGAUCCGAGGGAUCAAGCAAUCACGGUCGUUGCAUCAUAUAUCAUGCUAUUAUAAAUCAGUUUAAAUUUAAAAUUGAAUAUAAAUAGUAUAUAAUGAAAAUUAAACGCAUGAUAUACGAUGAACAGUCGUGAUUGCUUGAUCCCCGAAUCUCCACAUGCUUUUCCAAUAUCUUUAUAUAAUCAUAUAAUUUGACUAAAAUAAAAAGGGUGGUCCGUGCCUUCUGGUAAUCUAGCAUCUUAAUCCAUCAAAUCUUUACCCUCCCUUUUUUCUCUCUAACAAAAUGUCUGAGGUCCCAACACCAAAAAUUACAGAAAAGGAGAAGCCUUCUUCUUCCUCAGCCACUUCAGCUCACCAACAACAACUCCUCUCUCUCCCCGCCAAUGGGUCUUCUCUCUCAUCCCCCGCCUCCGCUCCAAAGGCUUAUCCUUCACCCACAGCAACGUACGAGGAAGUCGUUCAAAGCUCCGACCUUUUCUGGGAAAAGCUCAAGGAGUUUCACGAUUCGUUCAGAACCAAAUUCAUGUACGUUUUGGGUUUUGUCCCUUUUGUGAAAGCUUUGAUUUUGUAUAUUUGGGUCGUUUGGUGAAUUGGGUUGUGUUUGUUUUGCUGUUUUGGGUCUUGAUAUGUUGGCAGAAUUGGAAAAUUAUAGUUUGUAUUGACAUUGAAUUUGCGUGUUGCUACUACAGUUGACUGGUUUGAUCAAUUCAUGUAAUUUGGCUCGGUUCGUUUUUCUUACAACUUAGAUUUCGUUUUGUUGGGCUAUUUGAUGAAUUGGGUGGGUUGUUUUUGUUUUGCUAUUUUGGGUCUUAAUAUGUUGGAAUAAUUGGAAAAUUAUAUAUUUGUGUCGUGUUUUUAUCUUUUCAUUGCCUCACUUGGACUAUUGGAUCUAACGGAAGACAUGACACAAAACUGAGCGUGGCAUUCUAGGAUUCAUAUAGCCGACUCUGCUUAGUGGGAUAAGAUUUUGUUGUUGUUGUAUUGCCUCACUUGAUAUACUUCCAUUGUUUUUGCAUGUUGCAUGCUUCAAUUGACUGGUUUUAAUCAAAACUAUGUUGCCUAUUCCUCGGUUUGAAUUGAUUGAAUGGUGACUGACUGAAAAUUUUGGACUGCAUUGUACACAUUGUUUCGAGUAUUUUUAGCAAAGUCAGGAUAUUUUUUUUGGGAUUCUAGAAGUUCAGUUGAAUGCUGAUAUCAAAUUUAUAUCCCCUGUGGUGUCUCUCUCUAUUUGAGUUUGAGUUAGGGAUGGUGGACAAUGAGCAAUCCCGAGAUUUAUUGCAAUGCAAUUCAUCAUUUCCACAUACCACCUAUAAUAUUGGCUCACGUUAUCCUUCUUUUUUCUUUGCCAUUAGUAAGAUUAUUGUUUCUUACCAAGAUCUGAGUUUGUCAUUCAUGAGAGAUGCUUCAUUCAAGAAAAUUGGAAUUUCCCAAAUCUUCGUUAGUCAUUGUUUCCUUUGCAUAACUUUAAUAAAUGGGGAUUUGAUUUUCUUGAUGUCUACUUUUGAGCUGAAAUUUUCCAUGUAUGCAGCAUUACUAGACCAAAAACAGCACCAUGUCGUGGAGAAAUUACGACAGUUUCCUUUUUGAGGAUUUAAGAAUUGCUAAUUUAUUUUAGUAUGCUAUCUUUUGAUGUUGGUAUUUUUUAGCUGUUAUAACCUUAUAUUUCUUCAUUCUUAUUUUGUGGUCAUGGAAACCUACUUUCCAUGUUGAGAUAUUAAUGCGUCUUCAAUUGCUUAGUUUAUUGCUUAUCCUUGUGAAUUUGCAUUUGGUUUUGAUACCUUACAGAAGCAUAAAUAGGCUUUUUGGUAACUAGGAAAAGUUAUCAGUGAUGGUCAGUGAAAUCCUGAAACUGGGUCAUUUUAUGAGAUGUCUGAAAGUAUUUCUUCAUUAGUAUUGAAGUAGGUUAGUUUGAAGGAUACAGUCUAAGGGGUGCAGAAAUAAGCUGUUUAUGAAUGUGGACUUUGUCAUGCCACGAUUCUUUUUGUGCAUCAGAAACCGUUCCUAAACUGCUGUGCUGAUUGUAUAACUUAUUUCCUUUCAUAGUUUAUAGGCAUUGAUGAAAACUUAGUUAGGACGGCCUGGCUUGAACAGGAUCUGUCCUAUAGGAUCAUAUGUCUGAGUCCUUGAGUUCAUGAAAAUUUAGUGUAAAGUACAGAAAAAACGGAAAGUCCAUGAGGAUAAGAUUAGCCCUCUUUGUGCAGGAUUCCUACCGUAGGAGGAAAAACUCUGGAUCUACAUCUCCUUUUUGUAGAAGUCACAUCUCGUGAUGGGCUUGAAAAGGUUCGUUCAUUUUGCUUUUCUGUUUAAUGGUUGUUUAUAUGAGAUUCUUAAGCUGAGUUAAACUUAUUGCCUAUGUUAAUCUUCAUCCUUUUCUUUUCUCCCUUAUUUUGGAGCCAUUCUAAAGUUCCUUUUUUAUGUUUUGAAUUUUAUUUCACUUUAAAUUCUCUUAAACUGGUUACAGGUGAUUAGAGAUCGCAAAUGGAAGGAAGUGAUUACAGCCUUCAAUUUCCCAACAACAAUUACCAGUGCUUCGUUUGUCUUACGGAAGUACUACUUGUCUUUGCUGUAUCACUUUGAGCAGGCCUAUUAUUUCCACAAAGAAGUUUAUAGCAUACCAGUGCUUGGUAAUUGAAGACAGGGGUCCUUGUUGAUUUUGUGUCAUUUCAUGUAUUUUAUUGAUUGGAAAAUAUAUGGUUUUCUUGUUUCCUUUUUGCCAGAGCCUCUAAGGAAGAACCUUUUCAAUGGGUCAGCCACCGUGGAGGAAGGUGCAAGUAGAAACCAAUUUCCAGGUCAGGGUAGGCUUAACCUCCAUCUCGAUGUUAUGGUUCUAAUAGUGGUUGCGCCACACUAGUUGUAGAAGUAGAACCAUAUAACUAUGAGUAUGUUUUCUCUUUGGUGUCUACAUUAAACUGUAAGUUUCCAGAAAACCUUUUAUGUGCAAUUGUAGAGUAUACCUCCUGUUGACAAUUCUCAGAAGAAAUCGUAUGAAAUAAUUCUGUAACUUCUUAAAGUUAGAUAGUUGAAUAAAAAAAUUUCUUGCUAGUGGUCAAGCUUUUCUGAUGGCCCUUUUGAGAUAAUCUUCGGAAAGCUGCAAUGAAAUAGAUAAACAACAUAGGAACUUCUAUUAAGAAAUAUGGAUGAACCACAUUGUAAAUUUUAUAGGGAAUCUGUCUUAUAACUUUAUGACUUGCUAUGAUGCUUUUACUGUCGUCUUUCUAAUUCAGUAUCAUUAUUUCCUAGUUCCUUGACCUUAUUGAUAGCAUCUAGUUAUUUGAUCUGCAAGGCCGUGAAUUAAUUGCAAUAUGGAUCUGUUUUCUCUAUCUUAUGUACAGAAAGCACAGAAGUGCAGCUUGGUUGUUCAAUCAUGGGAACCAUUGAUGGGAAAUUUGACAGUGGAUAUCUGGCUACUGUCAACUUGGGUUCUGAUGAACUGAAAGGUGUCUUGUAUCAUGCUCCUACAUCUACAUAUGUUUCUCAGAGCUUUUCGGACAUGCCUACUCGACGGAACCGAAAGAGAUCCAGGUUGGCAUUACGUGAUCCCUUUCGGCCCAAGUCAAACAGGAGUGGUUACAAUUUCUUCUUCGCUGAGCAUUAUGCCAGAUUAAAACCUUUGUACUAUGGGCAAGAGAGAGCCAUCAGCAAGAAAAUUGGGUAUCUAUGGAACAAUCUCACAGAGGCUGAGAAACAGGUAUAGUGAGUUGGUGACAUUUUUUUUUUUUUUUUUUUUUUUUUUCAGUUAGUCCUUUUUCGCUCGUAACGUCCCAAGCUAAUUUCAUUAUCGUAUAUUUGUGUUCCGGUAUAGAUCUAAGGUUUGAGAAGAAGUUUCACAUGCUUGGAUAGAAUUACUAUUUUCAUCUCCUUUUGUGUUGAUUCUCAACACUUCUAACUUGCGGUAUAUUGGAAGUCUUCUUGAAGUGUUCAUCAUAACACUCCGUUGCUGCGUUGCAGGUUUAUCAGGAUAAAGCGAUGAAGGACAAGGAGAGAUACAGGACCGAACUGCUGGAAUAUAAAUCUUCCUACAAUCCUACGCAGCAAUAGCCUCCAUGUUCGUUAGAUAGGCAACUUGUUUCGUAGGCAUCAUUUUCCUCUCUUGUAUGCCUUUUUGUAGUAGUUGUCAUCGUUGCCGGUAUUUAACCUAGUUCGGUUUUCAUUUUUCUUUGGUAAGGUUACCCCUCAGUAUGCCCCAUCCGCGGAAAAGAAUUGCGGAAGGGGUGAAAGGGGGCAGCUCUUUGUAACAGCUGUUGAAUUUGCCUUCACUUUGGAUUAGUAGGAUUCCAUUGCAGUGACGAUCUUUGAUAUUUCUUGACAUUCCAAUGUAACAAUAGUAAUUCCUGGAACUGCAGUCUAAAAUUUAAGGGAGCUUAUUUUCACACACAAUCUUUAGCCUUCUACACAGCCCUCACACAUAUUCCUGACAUCGGAUUGAAUAAAUGAAAUAGAAAACACGAUUCGGAUUGAAUAAAUGAAAUAGAAAACACGAUUAGGAUUAAAUAAGCGUGUAGGAGGAGAAAAAUUAUUUGUAAUUUCCAAAAUUUAUAGGUGGAUUGAAAAGUUUUGAACAUUAUGCAAUGUUUACGAGCUCGUUUGAAAGUGCUUUUAAAAUGACUGAAUGCUCUUUUGGUGAAAUUGAUUUUGGGUUCCAAAAGUACUCAAGUGCCUUUUGGAAGAAAUACCAGAUAUGUACUUUUUCAAGAAAGCACUUAAAUGUUUUUUCAUGAUCUACUUGGAUUUUUACUAAAUAUUGGUUUUAAAAACAUUUUCAUCAAAAAGACUUACAGUCAUUUCAAAAAGACUUCCAAAUGAUACAACACCUAAUGUACGCAGAUCACUACAACUGACUUUUGAGCUAGUUAGAAUUAUUUUUUAUCUUGGGGUUUCUAUCUAUUUUUAAUCUCAUCAUCCAAGAAAAUGUUAAACACAAAAGCAUAAAAAAAAACAAAAUGAAUUACGCCACCAUCUCAAAUUUAUUGAGUGAUAUUUUAACGUAAUCUAAAUUGCAAGGAGAAGAUCAACUAAUACAAUAAUUUAGAAAUAUUUUUCUUUGUUUUUAAGUAACAUGUUUCAAAUUUGACUUACAUAGACAGCGAGGGAGUAUUGUAAUUAUGUCAAGUUUGAUACCUAAUUAAUGGCUGACUUAGCCUAGUCCCCCUCUCCUUAGAGUAAAAUAUAUUGUAACAAAAUUAUAGAGAGAGGUAACUAAGUGGGAUGAUAGAGAGAGGUAACUAAGUGGGAUGAGGCAGUGCAUUAUUAUCCUGGUCAACUUUGGCUAUGCCAAGUCCUACAUUUUUUACUUUCAAAUAUGAUUAUUACUUGCUUUCUUAAUCAACUAGAAGUAAAACUAUUGGCUUAGGAAAUACAUUUUAACGGAUACUUUUUACCUUUCAUAACGUGGUAAUACAUGUUUUACCUUAAUUAAUUAGUUCCCCUUCAAACAAACAAAAUGUAUACAUAAGUAAUGAUUUUCUUUUUGACACACAAUAUGAUAUUUUAAUACAAACAGACAAUACAAUAUGUGAAUUGGAACAUUAGAGCUCUUAAACUCGUACAUUGUACAACUAAGUGAAAAAAGCUAAACUAUAGUUAGAUGAAAGGUAGUCAUUUAGUACUACGAUAUAAUGAUAUUCUUCGAUCUAGUUGUUCAUUUUCACUUGUAAGUGAUCUUAUGUUUGAUUAUUGUCAAAAGCAAAUUUGAGCCAAAUUAUUGUCUAUUGUGAGGUUUAGCCUAACUCCUCUUUUUCGUACGAUAGAUAAAAUCGUUUGUUAAAAAAAGUUAAACAAAAAGCUUGCUGGUCAAAGACUCAAAUGCAACGACUUCCUUCACACAUUUUCUUUCGUCAAAGCAUUAAGUAGAAUUUAAAUUCCUUGCUCAUAAAAUUGGAAACAUGGAGGCCAUUCAAAGGUUUGAAACCGCGUGGAAACAAAAGGAUAGAAGAAAUAAAUUGGAAAAUUUGCUCCUCUAAUCACUUUCUUAUUUAGACUCUAGUCAUGUGUGUGGUGAGUGGUGAAUGGUGGGAACAUGAGGGCAGUGCAUCAUAUGCAAUUAUAUAAUUGGAGAAACGUUUGAAAAUAAAAACUUUUCACCACUUGUAUAUUAACAUUUGGCGUACCAUUACGUGUUUUGAGUGUACUGAAAAAUCUAGUGAAUGGUGGUAUGAGAUGUGAAAAUUCACAUAAAAGAGGAUCAAAAGGGAUAAUAAUGACAUGCAUUAACUUAAAGGAUGGCGAUAAGCACGGAUUUUGAAACUAACCCAAGAGAGUUCCCACUUUGCUAGGCUUCUUGCCCCCUUUUAAUUUCCUCUCCUUGAUAGAGUAGGAAAUCCUUUUGGGAUUUUAUUCUAAUUAGAAAAAUGAGAUUUUUUAAUAUAUGCUGCGAAUAUCUUAUGUAUUGAAAAUUUUAAUCAAUAUAUUAUUGGUUAAAGAUUCAACAAUUAAAGUUGCAAACGUUUAAAAAUUUAGUGUAUAAAGUACAUCAAAGUAUAGUAAAUUUUUUAUUAAAAAAUAGUGGAAUAAUUUAUCAUUGAUUAACACUUAUAAAGGGUAACACAAAUAAGAAGAGAAAAAAAAAAUCCUUAAAAAAAAGAAGACAAAAAGCUAAUUUUUGGGGUUGGAGGAAUAAUUACAAAGAAAAGAUUGUAUCCUAAAUUUUUGUGAAAACUGAGAGAAUUCCGGAUGAUUGGCCUUGGAGUAUCUUCCAAGGAAGAUUAAAAUUAAAUUAUAAUGUAAGAUAAAAAUUAGAAAAAAAAAAUUAAAGGAAGAAAUUCCAAAAACCCUUACUCUUUGGGGCAGGUAUGGUUUAGUGUUGUAAGUGGGGCUCCUAAAUACUCGUAGUGGGAUAGAAGAGAGUGGCACACUUCAUACUAAACAGUACUACCUAAACCUUUGUUUGGAUGGAGUUUAAUUUUUCAUUUUUCAUUGAACUCUUCUUAUUUUUUGAAGGAUCUCUCUCAAAAUUAGGAUUGUUAUGACCUCUUUGUCAACCCAUAGUUUAAAGUUAAUUUUGUGUUAACAUUAUAAAAUAUUAUACCAAAAGCAUAAGGUAACAAGGAUUUUAUAAAGAGUCUUAAGAGAGUUCGAUUAUCAGUUCACUAUCUUUUGUGUGGUGGUUUUAUGGUUUUCAAACUUUUCAAAAUUCUCAUACUAUUCUCAGUCAGUGACUCAAAAUUCCGUGAGAAUUUGGAGAUUCUGAAAGAACGGAUUAACAGGCUUUGACGGUCAAUUGCCCAUGAACCAAAACUCAUACAAACAGCAGUUAAACCCAAAAUAAUAUUAAUUAAAAAACCUAACAAUAUCUAUAAAAAUAUAACAAUUAUAAUUCUCUUUCUAUAACAAUUUGGUGACUUGAAAGACCGAAGGCCUGCCUAACUGCUGCAGAAUUUGUGAAGUCCUCUCUCUCUCUUAGCUCUUCUGGGUUUGUUUCUCUGCUCCUUUCCUUGGCUAUUUUUCAACUCUAAUCUUUUUUUUUGAGCUGUAAUCUGAUGACAUCAUUAGCUGGCUGGAAGCCACUGAAUUUCCUUGUUUUCUUUCCCCUCUUAGAGUUCUUGAUUAUAUUGAGGUCAGGAUUUUCAGGACUUAUAAUUACCCAAAACAAGAUCAUGAUCAAAGUAGCCUAAUUUUGCUUCUCAGCUAAGCUAACCUUUUCACAUUUAUAUUUGCAUAUAUAUAUAUAUAUAAAAUCUCAAUCUCCUAGUAGGGUUCCGCAUACUCACAUCCUUAGCUUUAGCUCCUUUCUACCCAAAUCUUCUUUCUUUUCUUAUUCCCCAAGCACCAAAAAAAAAAAAAAAAAAAAAAAAAAAAA